GUAAUAGCUCAGUCGGUAGAGCAUGAGACUCUUGAUCUCAAGGGUGUGGAUUCAAUCCCCAGGUUGGACA